UGCAACCUGAGCUCAGUCGUGAUUACCCGCUGAACUUAAGCAUAUCACUUAGCGGAGGAAAAGAAACUA
rnacentral:rRNA from 1 species